rnacentral:misc_RNA from 1 species
UACGGAGGGUGCAAGCGUUAAUCGGAAUUACUGGGCGUAAAGCGCGCGUAGGUGGCCUGAUAAGCCGGUUGUGAAUGUCCCGGGCUCAACCUGGGAACGGCAUCCGGAACUGUCAGGCUAGUGUGCAGGAGAGGAAGGUAGAAUUCCCGGUGUCGCGGUGAACUGCGUAGAGAUCGGGAGGAAUACCAGUGGCGAAGGCGGACUUCUGGAUUGACACUGAGACUGAGGUGCGAAAGCGUGGGUAGCAAACAGG